rnacentral:tRNA from 1 species
GGGAUUGUGGGGUAACCUGGUAGCCUACGAGCUUUGGGAGCUUGUGAUCCCAGUUCAAAUCUGGGCAGUCCCA